rnacentral:rRNA from 1 species
GAUGAACGCUGGCGGCGUGCCUAAUACAUGCAAGUCGAGCGAACAGAUGAGGAGCUUGCUCCUCUGACGUUAGCGGCGGACGGGUGAGUAACACGUGGAUAACCUACCUAUAAGACUGGGAUAACUUCGGGAAACCGGAGCUAAUACCGGAUAAUAUAUUGAACCGCAUGGUUCAAUAGUGAAAGACGGUUUUGCUGUCACUUAUAGAUGGAUCCGCGCCGCAUUAGCUAGUUGUAAAGGUAACGGCUUACCAAGGCGACGAUGCGUAGCCGACCUGAGAGGGUGAUCGGCCACACUGGAACUGAGACACGGUCCAGACUCCUACGGGAGGCAGCAGUAGGGAAUCUUCCGCAAUGGGCGAAAGCCUGACGGAGCAACGCCGCGUGAGUGAUGAAGGUCUUCGGAUCGUAAAACUCUGUUAUUAGGGAAGAACAAAUGUGUAAGUAACUAUGCACGUCUUGACGGUACCUAAUCAGAAAGCCACGGCUAACUACGUG